GGACGGAGCUCUGGAGAGAUCCUUAUAUGGACACCGAAGGGGAAAGCCGCAAAUGCGGUGAAACUCUCAGGUAAAAGGACAGAGAAUGAUGG
rnacentral:ncRNA from 2 species